rnacentral:rRNA from 1 species
UACGUAGGGUGCGAGCGUUGUUCGGAGUUACUGGGCGUAAAGCGUGCGUAGGCGGUGUCUUAAGUCUGUUGUGAAAUCUCCCGGCUUAAUCGGGAGGGUGCGGUGGAAACUGAGAUGCUGGAGUGCGGGAGAGGUAAGCGGAAUUCCCGGUGUAGCGGUGAAAUGCGUAGAUAUCGGGAGGAACAUCUGCGGUGUAGACGGCUUACUGGACCGUAACUGACGCUGAGGCACGAAAGCGUGGGUAGCAAACAGG